UGGGAGGAGAAAGGGAGGAAAGGGAGUAGAGAAGGCCACACACAAUCUUAAAUUCAAUAUUUCACUCCCGUUAAAGAUAAGCUGUUUAUAAGCUCCAGUGUAGGGCAUGUAAUUCUAUGUAAAAACUCUGUGGUUCCUCUUCCCACAUGUAAAUCAUGAUCACUCUACAUUCUGCUCUCUGGGAGCCCUCAAGGCAAAGAGACAACAAGACUCGAGACCACAGAAAGGACUUAUCACAAGUCUUUGUGGUAGCUGAGGAGUGCCCCCUACAGACUGAUAUGCACAAUGCAAGCAGAUGAAGAGGAAAGAACUGAGCAGCAGUAUUUCAGGAUUCUCAAUAAGGCAUCAAUGAAAAAAGAUUAAUAAAGUUAACCAAGUCUGAGAGGUGAAAUGACUUGCCAAAGGUCACUUAGAGAUAUUGGAGACAAGACUGGAAACAAGAGGUGUCUCAUUUCAAAGCCGUUUCCAUCUAAACCACUUUGAUUUUUCCUCCUCUUGAAUAUGCCAAACUGCUGAAAGUUCUUUCUACCGAGAAUGAAUAAUCCUCAACCAGGUUUUCGAAUACAAUGGUCUUUAUUAACAAGUGCGAGUUUGCGCCUUUAUAACUAGGACCAGGACAACUUAACUCCUGUGUUUCUUUUCCUUUGGCGUAUAUACCUUGGUCAAAACUGUGAUCCCUGCUACUUGGGAGGCUGAGACACAAGAAUUGCUUGAAUCCAGGAGGCGGAGGUUGCAGUGAACCAAGAUCAUGCCACUGAACUCCAGCCUGGGUGACAGAGCAAGAGUCUGUCUCAAAAAAAAAAAAAAGAAAAGAAAAAGAUAUUGCUUAGAAAAGUAACUUGAGUCCUGUUGAGCCUAAGUAAAGGACAAUAAUGGAAGUUUCUAGUCUGCAAAAUAUGAAGAUGCCCCUCAGAGACACAGCUGUGGGUGCCUCUCACAAGACAGAUGUUCAGGAAAACUGGGCUGUUGCUCUGGAAUUUUCAAUGAGUUAUUUUACUUGUUUUUGCCUCAGUUUACAGAAAAUAAACUGGCAACAAUAUCUCCUUGUUAUUGUGAGGAUAAAAUAAAAGGUGUGACAUUUCUAUUUUAAAUGUAUAAAAUGCCGAAAAAUUGGAGGCAACUGGAAGGUACAGUAGUGGAUGUGAGGUAGUAAGGGGGAAAAAAGGAUAUGUAAAUCACCUAAGAUGAAAUAGACAUUCAGAAGGCCGUAACGUGAAGUGUGAGUGACACUGAUUCGCUAAAAAUCCUAUAUAGUGUCUUAAAACAGCAGCAGUAACAACAACAAAGUUUAUUUGAGAGGAGGAAUUCUGGAAAAAAGCUUCUUUCAAAAAAAAAAAAAGAGUCUUCUAGUGCUCAGACAGUUCGUUCCUCUGCAAAGGCGGGUUACUCUGUUGGGGUCCAUUAUAGUUCUGAGGAUGAAUAGGACAGGACAAGGAGAUGGUUCCUGGCCCCUGUUCUCCUGCCACAGAUCUGUCCCACCUCCCAGGCUCCAUGCAUACAGUGACAGAGAUGGAAAGCCCAGAACCAGUCCCUUUAAUGCACUUAUUUGCAAAACAAGAUGUCACUAUGCAGCAGAGUGACAGUCCUUUCCCCUGGAACUGUCCCAGAGUUCUCCAAGCUGAAGCCAGGGCUACAUUCACCAUCUCAGACUCCUGCUGAGCUAAGUAACCACCCUCUCCUACCUUCUCUUCAGGAGCCCUGGCACCCUUGCUCUGGGGAGAGUUUGAAGAGCAACCUGAAAGUUCCCACAGUUUUUCCUCAAAUCUGGGUUUCCAUGAGCAUGGGCCACCAGUCGGGAGAGCCACAUGCCUGCCCUUGCCUGGCUCAAGACUGUCACUCUGUCAGAUUCAUAUCGCUCUCUGACCCUUAGCCUUCCAGUCUGGAUCUUGACCUUGAACUGGACUCUGUAGGAAGUUCUUAACAUUAAAGGAAGUUAUUUAUCUCUUUUCAACUAACCCAAGCACUUUCUAGCACCUUUUAGCAGUUUAAGCUCUAUGACUCCAUUGGAUAAAAUGCUGGGGAGCAGGACAUUGACACAGUCACAGAAUAUCACACACGGAAUCCUCAUUCAUUCCCCCAGGGAAACAGCACCUGUAGAAGACAAAUCUGGUAGACACUACUGUGACAGGUGAUUUUAUAUGUCAGCUUGACUAGGCCACAGGAUGUGUAGACAUUUGUCAAAUUUUUUUUUAUAUGUCUGUGAGGAUGUUUCUGGAUGAGAUUAACAUUGAAUCAGUAGACUGAGUAAAGAAGACCGCCCUCCCCAGUGGGGGUGUCCCUCAUCCAACCUGUGGAAGCCCUACAUAGAACAAAAAGGCUGAACCUCCCCCAAAAUACGGUGAUCUCAAGCUGCCUGACUUCUGGUGCUGGAACAUUGUUCUUUUUCUGCCUUCCGACUCAAACUGAAAAUCAGCUCAUCUUGUAUCCUGAGUCUGCUGGCUUCCAGACUGAACUAUACAUUGACUCUCCCAGGUUUCCAGCUUGCAACUGCUGGUCUUGGGACUUCUCAGCCUCCAUAAUCAUGCAUUAGCCAAUUUCUAUAUAGAUCUAGAAAUUCAUAUAUAUAUAUGUGUGUGUGUGUGUGUAUGUGUGUGUGUGUGUGUACGCAUAUAUAUACAGUCAUGAAUCACUGAGCAGUGGGCAUACCUUCUGAGAAAUGUGUCAUUAGGCACUGUUAUCAUUGUGUGAACAUCAUAGUGUACUUACACACACCUAGACGGUAUAGCCUACAACACACCUAGGCUAUAUAGUAUAACUUGUUGCUGGUAGAUUACAAACCUGUACAACCUGUUACUGUACUGAAUACUGUAGGCAAUUGUAAAACAAUGGUAAGUAUUUGUGUAUCUAAACAUAGCUAACCAUAGAAAAGGUACAGUAAAAAUACUGUAUAAGAGAUAAAACAUGGUGUGCCUGUAUAGGUUGCUUACCAUAAAUAAAGCUUGCAGGUUGGAAGUUACUCUGGGUGAGUCAGUGAGUAAAUGAUGAGUGAAUGUGAGGCCCUUGGACAUCACUGUACCCUACUGUAGACUUUAUAAACACUGUACACUUAGGUUACCCUAAAUCUAUUUUAAAAUUGUUUUCUUUCUUCAAUAAUAAAUUACCCUUAGCUUACUG
rnacentral:lncRNA from 1 species